CCUACGGGAGGCAGCAGUGGGGGAUAUUGCACAAUGGGGGGAACCCUGAUGCAGCGACGCCGCGUGGGUGAAGAAGCGCCUCGGCGCGUAAAGCCCUGUCAGCAGGGAAGAAAAUGACGGUACCUGAAGAAGAAGCCCCGGCUAACUACGUGCCAGCAGCCGCGGUAAUACGUAGGGGGCAAGCGUUAUCCGGAUUUACUGGGUGUAAAGGGAGCGCAGGCGGUUCUGCAAGUCUGAUGUGAAAGCCCGGGGCUCAACCGCGGGACUGCAUUGGAAACUGCGGGACUGGAGUGUCGGAGGGGUAAGCGGAAUUCCUGGUGUAGCGGUGAAAUGCGUAGAUAUCAGGAGGAACACCGGUGGCGAAGGCGGCUUACUGGACGAUGACUGACGCUGAGGCUCGAAAGCGUGGGGAGCAAACAGGAUUAGAUACCCUAGUAGUC
rnacentral:rRNA from 1 species